UGGGGAAUCUUGCACAAUGGGCGAAAGCCUGAUGCAGCAACGCCGCGUGCGGGAAGAAGGCCCUCGGGUUGUAAACCGCUUUCAGAAGGAACGAAACUGACGGUACUUUCAGAAGAAGGUGCGGCCAACUACGUGCCAGCAGCCGCGGUGACACGUAGGCACCAAGCGUUGUCCGGAUUUAUUGGGCGUAAAGAGCUCGUAGGCGGUUCAGUAAGUCGGGUGUGAAAACUUUGGGCUUAACCCAAAGCGUGCAUCCGAUACUGCUGUGACUUGAGUACGGUAGGGGAGCGGGGAAUUCCUAGUGUAGCGGUGAAAUGCGCAGAUAUUAGGAGGAACACCGGUGGCGAAGGCGCCGCUCUGGGCCGAAACUGACGCUGAGGAGCGAAAGCAUGGGUAGCAAACAGGAUUAGAUACCCACGUAGUCCCUGAGCGGGCUGGCAAGGCGCAU
rnacentral:rRNA from 1 species